rnacentral:lncRNA from 1 species
CUUCAUAGAUUGGUCCUUCACCACCUCUCAAACCUUUACUCAUUCCACACGCUCCCUUUACCUUCACAUUCCAGUCACAUUGGCCCUUUACCUGUUUCUCAAGCACACCUUAUUUACUCUGGAUUUAUUGUACUAGCUUUUCCUUCCGUGGAUGCUGUUUGUGUGUAUUGUCUUCAAUGCCUUUUCCCUGAACACCCAAUGCCAACUGAUGGUGGCGGUACCGUCUACUCUGCCAGCACUGUGAUUCCCUGGUCUACUCCAGCAUACAUGUGUCUUAUCGGGUCAUUCAGACUCCUUGACAUUUAUCGCUCUUCUGAUCCAAUUACCAAAAUGCUAGAAAUAUGGUGGACCAAUAGGAUGUUCUAUAGACCUAUGAGCAAUCAAAUCCCCUCCAGACCAUAUUGUAGAGAGUUCAAGAGGUGAUGUAACUCUUGGGCAGGACUGAAUAGGUAUUGCUGUCCCAAAUGUACCUGCUUCUGUUUUUUUUCUAUGGUGGGGAUUAAAAGAAUACAUUUAGCAGAACAAUAGCCCAAAUGUCAGAAGUUGUUCUGAUGUGUUCUAGUAAAUAGAUGGCAUCAUGUAUAAUUGUAAUUAAGUGAUCAUUUGGAUACAUUCAUGGCAGUACACCUUCUUCCACCAUAAUCAUCUGAUCAUAUUCACAUUUCAGAAUGCUGGAUUAAAUGGGAAUAUAAUGGGGAUUAUCACCCUUACGUCUUCUAAUUCUAUAGUCAAUAUUGAUUUUAAUUUAUUGUCUUGCUGAGAUGGAGUACAAUUUAGUAAGUAUGCACAUUCCUUUU